UAAAAAGGCACCUGACUUAACAGGACAAGAUCCCAUCUAAUCUUGGAAGCUAAGCAAGGUCAGUCCUGAUUAGUACUUGGGUGGGAGACUGCCAACAAAUACUAGGUGUUAUAUUCC
rnacentral:rRNA from 1 species